CAGCAGCAAUUCAUGUUUUGGAGUAUUGCCAAGGUUCAAAACAUGAAGCGCUGCAACA
rnacentral:pre_miRNA from 2 species